CAGAUGACUGGGGGGAAGUCGUAACAAGGUAGCCGUAGGAGAACCUGCGGCUGGAUCACCUCCUUUCUAAGGAAUAA
rnacentral:rRNA from 1 species